rnacentral:lncRNA from 1 species
GAGUCCACCCAGUUUUGCCAUGUGGACGGCGAGCGAAACACCGGGUUAGUGGAUCGGGUCGAGUGUGUGGAGGGAUUGAAUACUUCUAGCGACCCGCGAGAAUCUCUCGGCAAUGGUGGCAUAAGAGCUGAUGACUUCGGGGACUUUGGUGACUUAUCUGAUUGCUCCAUUCCUACAUGAUCAUAAUCGUUAUACAAAAAUGGAUAAUCCAUAUAUUUAUAUAUAUAUAUAUAUAUCUAUACACACACACACAUAUAUCUAAGUUUUUGAGUUGAAUUAAGUGAUAUAUUAUUUUGUCAAAAUUUUACUUUUAUAUUUCUUAAAUACAAAAAAUAAUGUCUAUUUAGCAUAUAGUUUUAUUUCAGUAGAAUUGAAAUUCAAGAUCGAAAUCAUAUCCACAACUUGUCUUGGAAAAUAAUUUUCCUAUUAACCAUAAUUAGUAUAAAAUGAAAAAAAAAAUUAUUUUUAUUUAAAAUAUUGAAAAAUCUGAUUUUCCAACUAAUAAAUUUAGCGAUCAUGAUACACUUCCACUAUUUUCGCGCAUUAAAAUUAAAUUUUCUCGAGGAUACUUGCAAGAAUCGCACUUAAAACUAUGGAAGGAAAUGAAGAACCCAUUUCUUUUUUACUGAAGUAAUAUUAAUUAGUUACGGUGAAAGAAUAUCAUUGAUCUACCUAGGCGUAUAUAUAUACACUGAUACACUUGUAUACAUAUGCAUAUUUGAGCAGGAGGGCAUUUAAGUGUUGAUGGAAGACGAUGUGGAUUAGUGGUGUUGUGGGCAAUACAUGUGAGGCAGUUGGAAGAAUAGCGUGUACGGUUUCAUUUUCAAGCAAAGGUGACGGUGGGGUCAGAAGACACGAACCGGACAUCAGGGGCUCCGAGAGUGAUAUUUUGGCAAGAAUUACAUCUAUAGAUACACACAUAUAGAUACAGUAACUAGAAAUUGAAGUUGGUUGAGAAGGGUUUUUAGGUAAAUUCAGGUGAACUCCGUAGUAAGUAUCUUGCGUAGGUCAUCAACUGGGGACUGCAAACAAGUCUUGGCGACCUCAUAAUUUUGGAGGGUAACUCGGUCAUGACAUUGAUGUUUACCACACAAAGCAAUGAGAUAAGAACACCGAAGGACGUGGGAUUUUCGCUCGUAGAGAAAAUCAAACGAGCACAUAUUGUCUGUGGUUGUCCCCUCAUUAAAGAGCUGUACUACAUACACAAUCCAAUUUUCUUCUGUGAGAGAGAUUUGAAACAGAGGGGAAAAUGAAGGAAUUAUAUCUCUUGGGUUUUUUACUGUACUCAAUCUCUUCAAAAAAUUGUUCUACAAUUGCCAGUAAUUU